rnacentral:rRNA from 1 species
CAGUGCCGCGGUAAUACGUAGGUGGCAAGCGUUGUCCGGAAUUAUUGGGCGUAAAGGGCUCGCAGGCGGUUUCUUAAGUCUGAUGUGAAAGCCCCCGGCUCAACCGGGGAGGGUCAUUGGAAACUGGGAAACUUGAGUGCAGAAGAGGAGAGUGGAAUUCCACGUGUAGCGGUGAAAUGCGUAGAGAUGUGGAGGAACACCAGUGGCGAAGGCGACUCUCUGGUCUGUAACUGACGCUGAGGAGCGAAAGCGUGGGGAGCGAACAGGAUUAGAUACCCCCGUAGUCCCUGUCUCUUAUACA